rnacentral:rRNA from 1 species
UACGUAGGGGGCAAGCGUUGUCCGGAAUCAUUGGGCGUAAAGAGCGCGUAGGCGGUCCGGUAAGUCCGCUCUGAAAGUCCGGGGCUCAACCCCGGGAGGCGGGCGGAUACUGUCGGGCUAGAGUCCGGAAGAGGCGAGUGGAAUUCCUGGUGUAGCGGUGAAAUGCGCAGAUAUCAGGAGGAACACCGAUGGCGAAGGCAGCCCCCUGGGUUAACACUGACGCUCAUGCACGAAAGCGUGGGGAGCAAACAGG